rnacentral:lncRNA from 1 species
UCGUUAAUUUUGCAUUCAAAGAAAAUAUGGUUCAAAUCUCUAAUCGAAACAUUAUCACAAAAACAGACUGAUGAAUUAACUAUUCCUAAUUUGUGCAGAUGUGCCUCAUAUUUUCCGUGUCGAGUUUUUAAUCUGACGAUAGUAGAAAUAUCUUGCUUUGGCAGGUUAUACUUAAAUAUGUAUUCAGGUGGCGGAGGAAGUUCUUGAUGUAAAGAAAAAUAUAAAUUUUUUGAUAUGCUUCCCUAACAACACACAACAUUCCAGGAAUGUACUACCAAAGUUCUAUCAAUAUUUGAAUGUCCUGGACAUUUAGGGAACAUUCGGUGAACAUCUGAUUAAAUUAUUCGUGGAAUGUUACCAUAAGACAUUCUGUGAACAUACUACCAAUGUUCCUUUUGUUAAUAUGUUCAUUUUCAAACUCACGGCGCAUGUAUUUGUGCAUGGUGCUUAGAGAGGGCAUCACGUGACUAAAAACGACCAAUGACCUCACUUCAGACUUCGGUGCUUCGGCCAUCUUGACAUGCAUCUUGGCCUUGGCCACCUUGCCGUGCGUGAUCGUUGUUUGUUUUUAUUUGUGCUUUUUAAGAAUAUUUUUUAAUUCGGAUACUUUUAUAAUAACUUUAAUAGUAUUAUUAAUAUAGUGCAUAAAAUCAGUUGGAGUAGCAGAAGCAAUGUAGAUAAAAAAUCUGCAGGAAUAAUGUUUCAAAGGUUAGUAUAUGCAAAUAUGUAAACAAAGGCAUGCCCCUAUUUCAGAAAAUAUCCAUUUAUUAUUUUAAUAAUUGCGAAUAAGCCACAAACUUGCUUAUUCCUAACAAAAAUAGUAAAUAGAGAUAAUAACAAACGGAUUAUUUGUAAAAUUAAAAUUUUUUUUGCGUUUUUGCUAAUGUAUGCGUUUAUAAACAGGAUGGUAGACCACACACUAUAAUAGUACCAACUAAUGAAUACACAGUAUGAAUAGUACAGUCGGUUCGCUAAACUUAGUCUCAGACACAACUGGCUAGUGAUUUUAGUAAAUAAUUUUGACAAUUUGGUAAAAUUGGCAAAAAAAUAACUAAAUAGUUAGUAAUUUUGGCAAAAAUGGCCAAAAACAAAAAAAUUACCUACUAAAAUCACUAGCCAGUUGUGGCUAGGGAAACGACUAUACUAAUAAACAAUUUCUAAGCUGCUUUUUAUAAUAUUUUCUUUCCAGAAGAUCCUGCGAAGAAGGCAUGAAGUAUUGAUCAGAUUUGUUAAUAGAGCAGUAUGUUCAAAACAUUUUUUAGAAAAAGAUAUUGACAGAACUUCACUUUCAACCGUGAACUUCACUUUCAACCGUUUGAGAGACUGUGCUGUUCCAAUAGCUUAUAUCACACAGAAUCAGCUGAGAGAAGUGGUCUACAAAAAACCAGGAAGGAAAUGGAAUAUGUGGCUAUGAAAGGCAAAAGAAAGGUUUACAAAGCAAAUGUGACACAUUUUUUAUAGGAAUAUCAGUAAAUUACAUUAAAAAAAUGUAUGAAAAAAUUUUUUGCAAUAAAAAUGUUUAUAUUUA